ensembl:lncRNA
CAGCAUGCUAAAUUAUAGAUGAGAAAGGCAGAAUAUAUAGACAGUCUGUCUCACAAAAAGCCAAAACCAAAUAAAAGGCACGCUCCAGCCAAAGGACAAGCUGAUAACAGAAAAUCUGGUUUACUUCUGAGCUGGCCUGAAACAAAGGGCUGAACUCACAGCUAAGGAAGAACGAUGAAAGAGACCAAGCCCAGAAAGCAUGGAAGGAAUGUGCAUCUUCAGGCACCUCCUGUGAGCUGCUCCAAGGAGCUUUACCUUCCACGUGAACGACCUGCUGGCCUCCCUGCUCCCAUCCAAAAUGCAUCCUCCAGAUUAUAAUCCCUUCAAGAGCCAUCAGUACCCGAAGACCAAAGGGAAAUUACAACUUUGUGGAGCUUGAGAGCAUGGAGAUCCCUAAAGACAGAACUUCAGAACUCAACCAAAUCUUCUUCAAGGCAAUACAAGCACUGUGCUGAGGAGCUAUCAGACAGCUAAACCGUAAGAUGACAGCUCCAUUCCAAUUGCUAUACUUCAGACUCAGCUCUUGAGGAAUAUAGAAAGAUAAAGAUGCCACAGAUGCUGCUUAAUAAUGGCGCAGUAGGAUCGAGCAGAGAGAAAAGAUGAACAAUAUUAUGGAAAUGAAACGAUGAUACUUUAUACUUCAAAAGAAUGGAAUACAAAGCUGACAUUUCACUGCUGGACUUGAGGAAUUAGUCAUCGUUACUUAAUAGCAAUUGGAAUAGCCUAGCAAAGGAUGUAUCACAUGAAAAAACAUCCCAAUCUUGGCUGAAUUUUAACUGUAUCAAUUAAAGUUGCACGACAGAUAGAAAAGCUUAUUUCAGAUAAAAAUCUCUUUCUUCUGCACAUGUAUGAAAGAAGUGUGAGGACACAGUCUAUCCUUCAUUGAUCAGGGAAAUGAAGGAGCCAAUAGCCCAGAAAGACAUGCAGAGUUGAAAGCGUAGGUAAGUGACAUCCUGAAAUACACACUAAGAAUAUGGGAGUACAGAAGAUCUGGGUGCUGCUGGCUUUACACACCACAUCCCAGCACACGCGGGCAGCACCACCUCAGGCAGCAAGCACAGGUGGACGCAGCAGGCUGAGCCCAGCCAGCACUGCCUUUAUGGGAUGGCCACAGGGAGGACGUGAAGGAGAAGACUGUAAAGUCUCAGAAGGCAUUGGCAAGAGCCUGGGUAAACAACGUGGAUCUAAGGCAAACGAAACCCACAGUUCAUUUUCGGGUCAGCCAUGAAGACAGUUGCAGAUGGAGAGGGCAGAGAGGUAAGAAUUUGCCUCCUUUGCUUUUAGAAGAAAAGCAAGAGAAAAAUCAACUCAACGGAUCAGAUGGGGACACAAGCAAAAGGUCCAGGAGGCGAUUUUCCUAGAAGCAAGCUAACUUUAGAUCUGUGUCUUAGGGUAUAAAAUGCAACUUCCACAAGGGCAUAAUCGAGCUCCCUGCAUCCAGAGGCUGCCGCACGAUGGAAGCCGUCAGUGGGGCACUGCCUGCCCCACCACCAUUUCCUGCCCGGCCCUCACAGGGCAGCGCAGGGCCCUCCCUGACAGCAACUGGGACUAUUGUAACCAAAAAAUAUGUUCCCAUUAAAAAAUGAGGAUGAUAGCAAUUAAUUCCACAUUUCUGUGAAUAAAUAUCAUGUGCCUUAUGCCAGAGCAAUUUGGCUUGUUCACAGAAGCUAACAGUGACACAUAAAUCCAUUUUCCCUGUUGCUCAACAGACCACCUCACUCUGCAGACCAGAUUUUGCAUUGGAAAAGACUUCUUUUGUUUCUGGCUUUCACUUUGCUCCUUGCCAUCCACCUUCCUGUCAACCUAUGGGUUACAUCAUUCAUUCAAAGCAACUCAAGUCCAGGUUGUCUUGGGACUGCUUGGUCCCAACAGCCACUGACCCGGUGACUUUACUUCCAGAAGCUGCCCACUGUUUCCCAGAAGUGACGUUCCUUGACUGGAGCCAAUGACCUGGAUCUGUCCCCUCUCCUGGAGCCAGUCCCAGCAGCAGAGAUGUGCCAGGAGCAUCCCUGCCAGCAUGACCAGUCUGCUUGUCCUGUGCACAAUGAGGAAAGAGCUCUCUUCUAGCACGUGUGGUCCUGAGCUACUGAGCCACAAGGACAGACCAACAUCUGAAUCAACAGAGGCAAAGCCAUACAGAAGAGAAGCUAAUGUGCUCCUACCUUUUCUCAGCUGUAUUAUUUACUUGACUCCAAUGAUUCCAUCAUAUUGAAAAAUCAAUGGCAUUUUAGAAGUGUAAAACCAAGGAAAAGCUGUAUGGAUUCUGACUAUUUUGAACUACUUCUCCGAACAGGUGGUCAGGCACUGGAAUGGGCUGCCCAGAGAGGUGGUGGAGUCACCGAGCCUGGUGGUGUUCAAAGAGCGUUUGGAUGUUGUGUUGAGGGACAUGGUUUAGUGAGAACCAUUGGUGAAGGGCGAGUGGUUGGACUGGAUGAUCCUGUGGGGCUUUUUCAACCUCAGCGAUUCUGUGAUUCUAUGAAGCUUUACAGAUGCUUGCUGACCUAACAUGGGAGGAGUAUCAUUAUUUUAUUGACGAAACUCUUUUUUUUGUUGUUGUUUUAAUAUGGAAAAUCUCAGUGGCGCUUCACUCCAUUUGUCUUUUUUUUUUUUUUUUCCUUUUUAGUCAUAUGAUAAUGUACACUUAUAACCAGUGAAUCAUCCCCCCAAAAAGUCAUAAAGAGAAAAAUAGCUCAUAUGUAUGCCUCAGCGGCCAAUGAAUCAUUGACGACAGGUAUAAUGGGAAUAAUUACAUACUGUUGAGAAACUUUACUCAAAGCCCAGCUCAGAAGGCUAGUUUCAAAACUUCUGAGUUAUGCAGUUGGAUCCAAGGUUGAGAGUGCCAGGUUAGGAAACAGCCAGGAGAAUUUCAGAUUUGUGUUACUGCAAGGAAAUAUCCUCUCCAAGAGUCUGUUAUGUGUUGACAAAUUGUUUAUACUUAAUGAAGCAAUAAUAAUGAAUAGUCUAAA